AUUGAACGCUGGCGGCAGGCUUAACACAUGCAAGUCGAGCGGGGUUUUCGGACCUAGCGGCGGACGGGUGAGUAAUGCGUAGGAAGCUACCCGAUAGAGGGGGAUACCAGUUGGAAACGACUGUUAAUACCGCAUAAUGUCUACGGACCAAAGUGUGGGACCUUCGGGCCACAUGCUAUCGGAUGCGCCUACGUGGGAUUAGCUAGUUGGUGGGGUAAUGGCUCACCCAGUCGACGAUCCCUAGCUGGUUUUAGAGGAUGAUCAGCCACACUGGAAAUGAGACACGGUCCAGACUCCUACGGGAGGCAGCAGUGGGGAAUAUUGGACAAUGGGCGCAAGCCUGAUCCAGCCAUGCCGCGUGUGUGAAGAAGGCCUUCGGGUUGUAAAGCACUUUCAGUAGGGAGGAAGGGUUAAGUGUUAAUAGUACUUAACUUUGACGUUACCUACAGAAGAAGCACCGGCUAACUCUGUGCCAGCCGCCGCGGUAACAC
rnacentral:rRNA from 1 species